GUGAAUGCUAUUGAUAUGCUUAACACAUGCAAGUCGAACGAAAAAUAUAACUGAUCGUGGCGAAAGGGUGAGUAAAAAGGGGUGACAAUAAUUUAUAAGUUAGGGAUAAAUACCUAAUAAAUAAUAAAGAAAAAUCGCUUAUAAAGAGGCUCCUUAAAGAUUAGAUAGUUGGUUGGGUAAAAGCCUACCAAGUCAAUGAUUUUUAGCUGGCCUGAGAGGGUGUACAGCCACACUGGGACUGGAAAGAGGCCCAGACUUCCACGGGGGGCUGCAGUGAGGAAUAUUGGACAAUGAGCGCAAGCUUGAUCUAGCAAUAUCAAAAAGAUGAGUGAAGGUAAAUUAAGGUUUAUUGUAAAAUCAGAUAGUUAUGGAGAAUAAUGACAUUAUAUAAUUAUAGAGCCCCGGCUAACUCCGU
rnacentral:rRNA from 1 species